rnacentral:rRNA from 1 species
ACGGAAGGCAGCAGUGGGGAAUAUUGCACAAUGGGGGAAACCCUGAUGCAGCGACGCCGCGUGAGUGAAGAAGUUAUUCGUAAUGUAAAGCUCUAUCAGCAGGGAAGAAAAUGACGGUACCUGACUAAGAAGCCCCGGCUAACUACGUGCCAGCAGCCGCGGUAAUACGUAGGGGGCAAGCGUUAUCCGGAUUUACUGGGUGUAAAGGGAGCGUAGACGGUCUAGCAAGUCUGAUGUGAGAGGCAGGGGCUCAACUCCUGGACUGCAUUGGAAACUGUUAGUCUUGAGUGUCGGAGAGGUAAGCGGAAUUCCUAGUGUAGCGGUGAAAUGCGUAGAUAUUAGGAGGAACACCAGUGGCGAAGGCGGCUUACUGGACGAUAACUGACGUUGAGGCUCGAAAGCGUGGGGAGCAAACAGGAUUAGAUACCCUGGUA